GCCGGAUUGGUGGAAUGGCAGACACGACGGACUCAAAAUCCGUUUCUAGUUAUAGAGUGUGGGUUCGAGUCCCACAUCCGGCACCA
rnacentral:tRNA from 2 species